rnacentral:rRNA from 1 species
AGAACGAACGCUGGCGGCAGGCUUAACACAUGCAAGUCGAACGCCCCGCAAGGGGAGUGGCAGACGGGUGAGUAACGCGUGGGAAUCUACCUAGUUCUACGGAACAACAGUUGGAAACGACUGCUAAUACCGUAUACGCCCUAAGGGGGAAAGAUUUAUCGGAAUUAGAUGAGCCCGCGUAAGAUUAGCUAGUUGGUGGGGUAAUGGCCUACCAAGGCGACGAUCUUUAGCUGGUCUGAGAGGAUGAUCAGCCACACUGGGACUGAGACACGGCCCAGACUCCUACGGGAGGCAGCAGUGGGGAAUAUUGGACAAUGGGCGCAAGCCUGAUCCAGCCAUGCCGCGUGAGUGAUGAAGGCCUUAGGGUUGUAAAGCUCUUUCAGUGGGGAAGAUAAUGACGGUACCCACAGAAGAAGCCCCGGCUAACUUCGCGCCAGCAGCCGC